UAUGUAGUUCAACAUGAUGCAUCCUUGGCAGUGCCUGCAUUGUACAUUCAUAUUUACAGUCUGUUAUCUAUGGCUUGUUUAGCGUGGCUCAGGAUGUUUUGUUCCAUCCCAGACCAAUUUACAGACCUGAAAAUGAUCUUGCACACUUCGUCAAACUCUACUUCUACUUCUAGACCAUUGCUUCAGAUGUUCGUGUUGAUGUUGCUUCUGAUAACUCUGAUGCCUUAGCCAGUGACUCUGAUUUCUCAUUUCCAGCGCCAGUUUUAUCUCCAGCCUCAGAUGACUUAUAUUCUCCAAAUGACGUAAAGGAUCUUUCAACAACAGAAUUUUCAGGUUCCGAGAAGAGGCAUGGUGAUAAAGAAGAGGCAUUUGAUGACUACUUAUAAUGUAACUUAUUUUUGCUUCUUUUCCUUCUAGAUUAGACGUUAACAUGGACUUGCUGGCAUUAUGGAGUAGGCACCCACACUUGGAUUAUUACAUCAUUCCAUAGCAAGUUUUUCUAAAGGAUUAGAUCAAUUAAUGUGGCACUCCCAAAAAAUAAAAAAAUAAAAAAGUAAAAAAAAAGUUCUAGCAACUGUAUAUAUAUUGCUAGUUCUCUAA